CAAGUGUAUGGGGAGUCGGGAGCUGCCAGGCUGGCGUGAACCCCCGGAUCGAUGUUUACUGGUGGCCAUUGCCACAGUGAAACUGGUUACCUGCAAGUUAAACACCGGGCAUAUGUCGUCAUUAGUUGGGAGCGUCUGGCAUUAGUCCCACCGGCAGCUGUCUCCACGUUGGACUCGAUGAACCUCCAAACCCCUUAACUCCUGGGAUACGCUGCUAGACUAGGAAAGGUCCGAACAGCCACAGAGCAUCGCUAGCUGCUGUUCUCUGGUGUGUGAAUGUGUGCUUGCUCAAUGUGUGUGUAUGUGCGUGCGUGAACCGGUGCUGCUCACGGUAUGUUAGUAGGGUAUUUUCUUUUUUGUUUCCUCUAGCCUGUUAGCUUGCUGUGGCGCAGCAUCCACCGUCUGAAAUAGCUACAGGCUAGAGUGGUUUCUUUUUUUAUCGUUUUGUUUUGUUUUGUCCGUAUGUUAACCCCUUCCCUGUCCCUGCUCACUCGUUACUGGCGCGUGGAGUGCCAACUGACGUGUGUGUGUGAGAGGCCACACUGAAAGGCUAGGCCCUAUCUUAUGCACAGAGUAGUGAAGAGUUUGCUGUGACAUUACGUGACUCCUAGUGUGU